rnacentral:rRNA from 1 species
CAAUAGCGUAUAUUAAAGUUGUUGCAGUUAAAAAGCUCGUAGUUGGAUUUCUGUGAGAGUGCCGGUGUCGGCUGAUGCUUGUACGCAGGCGCUCUUACAUCCUUCUGUUAACUGAUCUUGGCAUUUUAUUGCUGGUUCAGGGCUCAGAUAUUUUACCUUGAGAAAAUUAGAGUGUUUCAGGCAGGCUUAUGCCGGAAUACAUUAGCAUGGAAUAAUGGAACAGGACCUGUGCGUCUUUCGGGGCGCCGGUCUCCGUUAUUGGUUUCGGGGACUAAAGUAAUGAUUAAUAGGGAUAGUUGGGGGCAUUAGUAUUUAAUAGUCAGAGGUGAAAUUCUUGGAUUUUUUAAAGACUAACUUAUGCGAAAGCAUUUGCCAAGGAUGUUUUCAUUA